rnacentral:rRNA from 1 species
AGAGUUUGAUCCUGGCUCAGGAUGAACGCUGGCGGCGUGCUUAAUACAUGCAAGUCGUGCGGUAAGGCUUCUUUUUGAAGUACACGAGCGGCGGACGGCUGAGUAACGCGUGGGAACGUACCCAAAAGUGAGGGAUAAGCAUCAGAAAUGAUGUCUAAUACCGCAUGUGACUUUCGAGUUAAAGCUUUAAGCGCUUUUGGAACGGCCUGCGUAUGAUUAGCUUGUUGGUAAGGUAACUGCUUACCAAGGCGAUGAUCAUUAGCUGGUCUGAGAGGAUGAUCAGCCAGACUGGGACUGAGAACGGCCCAGACUCCUACGGGAGGCAGCAGUAAGGAAUUUUCCACAAUGGGCGAAAGCCUGAUGGAGCAACGCCGCGUGCAGGAUGAAGGCCUUCGGGUUGUAAACUGCUUUUAUAUGUGACGAAUUUGACGGUAGCAUGUGAAUAAGGAUUGGCUAACUCCGUGCCAGCAGCCGCGGUCAUACGGGGAAUCCAAGCGUUAUCCGGAAUUACUGGGCGUAAAGAGUUGCGUAGGUGGCAUAGUAAGCAGAUGGUGAAAGUUCGCGGCUCAACCGCGUAAUCGUUAUCUGAACUAUUAAGCUAGAGAGCGAGAGAGGUAUCUGGAAUUCUCAGUGUAGGAGUGAAAUCCGUAGAUAUUGGGAAGAACACCAAUGGCGUAGGCAGGAUACUGGCUUGUUUCUGACACUAAGGCACGAAAGCGUAGGGAGCGAACGGGAUUAGAUACCCCGGUAGUCUACGCUGUAAACGAUGGAUGCUAGCUGUUCGUGGUAUCGACCCCACGAGUAGCGAAGCUAACGCGUUAAGCAUCCCGCCUGUGGAGUACGGUCGCAAGACUAAAACAUAAAGGAAUUGACGGGGACCCGCACAAGCGGUGGAGCGUGCUGUUUAAUUCGAGGCUAAACGAAGAACCUUACCCAGGCUUGACAUCCUGCGAAUUUCUCCGAAAGGAGAGAGUGCUUUGUUGAACGCAGUGACAGGUGCUGCAUGGCCGUCGUCAGCUCGUGUCGUGAGAUGUUUGGUUAAGUCCAUCAACGAGCGCAACCCCUGUGAUUAGUUAAAUUUUCUAAUUGGACUGCCCUGGUAACAGGGAGGAAGGAGGGGACGACGUCUGGUCCGUAUUGUCCUUACGUCUGGGGCUACAAGCACGCUACAAUGGCUGGUACAAAGGGUAGCCAAAUCGCAAGAUGGAGCAAAUCCCAUCAAAACCAGUCUCAGUUCGGAUAGCAGGCUGAAACUCGUCUGCUUGAAGCUGGAAUCGCUAGUAAUGGUAGGUCAGCUAUACUACCGUGAAUACGUUCUCGGGUCUUGUACACACCGCCCGUCAAACCAUGAAAGUCGCCAAUAUCUGACGUGUGAACUAGAUUCGCCCUAAGGUAGGGGAGAUGAUUGGGGUUAAGUCGUAACAAGGUAACC